UCUUCAAGAGGUGGAGACAAGGAAAACCCUUGUUCCACCAAGAAUCAUCAAUUGAAGAGGAAACGAUACCUCAAAUUCGUGCUUGAAUGUAUAUUAAGGAUCACCUAGACAAGUGGAUCAUAAGGUGGUAGCUUGGGAAAAAAAAACGGGUCAAAUGGAUCAACUACGCGGGAAAAGCAUAAUGGGAUGCAAGGUGAUAACUAGGACCUUACGGAUGAUGAUCAAGUAUAAUGGACGAACCGAACAUAACUGAAUUUCAAGCUUUCGUUUAAUUUCGUAUUUUAUGAACCGAAUCAAUUAUGAACUUUGUAAGGGUUUUAUAUUUUAUGAACAUAUUAAUGUGCUA
rnacentral:lncRNA from 1 species